UGUUACCAGAAGUUUCACAGGGAUUUAUUUUGAAAUUACAUUUUUGGCAUUUAUGCAAAAGUAGGCAAAUGUAUUAGAAUACAAAGUAAAACAAAUAAUACAUACUUUUGACUGUAGGAGAGAUACAGUCCGAGAAUCCAGAAUAACAAUUUAAAUAGUUUGUCAUAAUACAGAAACCCCUCAAAUAUUAACAGACUUUCUGGAAUCUACGCUGAAAAUGAACGGCCUUGUUAACGAUCCCGUUCUUCUUCCCUGCUCAAUUAGCUAACACGUACAGUGACAUUUCCUAGCAAAAUAUAAUUCAGGGGCACCGUCCCAUCUGAGAUCUCGGAUUCUAACAUGUUAUGACUUUUAAUAUGAACACCGGUAUAACCAGAAUUUAAACAAAUUAUGGCAAAUAAAUUAAAACAUUGAUAUUUUAACAUCUAUAGACUUUAUUAGGUGUUCCUUAUACAGUCAUCUGGUAUGUUUAAAGAGUGAGCAAUCAUAUAAAAGGAAAUAUGGUCAUAACUGAUUGAAGUAAUAAAAUCCUGAAACUAAAUAACAUCUCAUAAUUCAUUGCACAGCAUAUAUUAGAUUUCAUUACAUCAGUACAUGGCUUAGUUGUAAAUUCUCCUGAUGGCCAUAAACCUCUAAGGUGUUGUCAUCCUGAAAAAUGAAGGGGAGGGAGCUGGUGGGGCACAGAAUGGAUAAAUCUUCCACUGGCCGCGGUGACCUGGAGGCUGUAAAGCUGGAGUGCGUCGUCACCUAGUGGCGGAGCUUAGUACCGUCUGCUAGGAAGGGCCCCUUUCCUUGUGUUUCCUGGAGCUCUGGGAGUCCUUCGCCCUUCAGCUCCAUUCAUCCGUGAUACCCUGUGAUGCCCUCGUUCCUAAUAUUCCCAUCGCCCGCGCAGGGGAACCUCAAUUCCCUUCCCCGGCCAGGAGGUCGCGGGUUUGCUUAGCACAGUGUUGAUGCUCACCGCACCGCACUUUUAAAUUCCAAGUACUUGGGUUAUUUUCAAGGCCACGCGGCACACAGGAUGUCCAUGUUAACAGAACCCCACCAUGUUUGGGGAUGUGAGUGGAUUAUUAUGGCUAUAGGAACUUUGGGGCUUUGGCUCAGUUUUUGUUCUUAUGAGUGAGCAAGUCGGGAUUAGCGCAGAAUUAAUGCCUUAAAAGGGAGUCCUGAAGGCAAACAUGAAGUCCUUAUCAAGAUCUGCCCUUGGGAUCUUAUUACGAUUCUAGAGUCUUAAAACCGGCAGUGGUGCUGCCAGGGAGGAUUCCUUCACUAACACGUGGGCACCAGUCACAGGACAUCACCUGCGUGUUGGGGGCUCGGGAGCUCCGUCGGGGCUAGGGGCAGACCCUGCCGGCGGCUGGGGGUCGGUGCUUGGGGCCUGGGCCCCGCGGCCACUUGCUCGCCUUCCCACCACCAGGAGCCGGUGGGGCCAGUUGGUGGGGCCGGGCUAGCACCGGGAGCCACGCCAGCUGCUGGUGGCUCCGCAGAGCAGGAACACAAAGCAGACCGCCUGGGGGUCAGCAAACCCAGCCUAGUUCGAGGUCUGGGGACCGUGUCGUCAAAGCCCAAGCCCACGGCCACCCGGGGGCGGUUACGGAUAGCGGGCAUUUCCCACUGCACAAAGUGAACCGGCAGGAUGGGAGACACCAUCGGUUUAGAAAAGCAUUGCCAGUCCGGAGGGCAACGGGGACGCGGGAGAUGGGAGGGCCGAAGCGGGGCUCCUCCGAUCAAGCUGUCACGCGUCCCAUUCCUCCUGUCUCGCACCUCGGCCGGGAAAGGACAGGGCCCCGUGGGGGGAAGGGGAAGGGGAAGGGGCUCAGCACCCGGGCCUCGGCCGCCCCACCGCCGGGCUGGAUGGUCCGCAGCACCUCCGGGAUGUUUACUGUCCCUGGAUUCGCAGAGGAGCCCGGAAACUGAGCCUCCUAGAGCUCACCGCCAGCCCAGCGUCCAGCCAAGUCGGGUAAUUUUCACGAUAUCCCUGUAAAGUAGGUCCCGUCAUGAGCCCCACUUUAGGGCUGAGGAAACUGGGGCAGAGAGAGGCGAAAUCAUAGUCCUGCAGCUGCACAGUAAGGAGACUCCUGUCUGAAUCCCUCUCCUGUGUCCGCAGGACGAUGAGCCUCCGUAUGGCAGAUGCUCCCAAGCGGAUUUCUCAAACAGUACAGCUUCCGGUAACAAAAAGACCUUCUCUUCCAAAUGAAAGGAUUUCGUUGGCCAAUUAAGCAGACUCUCACCCCUUCAACUAUUCUUUCCAAAUAUUGUUUCUACUUUCUUAUUCUUCAUGACAAACAGAACAAUACUAGUAAUUAUCACCAACAGUAAAAACAGUAAUAGAGUGUUCUAUGGUUUUCAAAGAACUUGCAUAUCCUCUCCAUUUAAAAGAAUAAGGUAGGGGUGCCGGGGUGGCUCAGGGGUUUAGUGCUGCCUUCGGCCCAGGGCGUGACCCCGGGGUCCCAGGAUCGAGUCCCACGUCAGGCUCCCUGCAGGGAGCCUGCUUCUCCCUCUGCCUGUGUGUCUCAUGAAUAAAUAAAAUAUUUUUAAAAGAAACAAAACAAACAAACAAAAAAAGAGAGUCCUGGACAGUCCAUUUUCUCAACCUUCUUCUGCCAAGCAGGACUUUGUUGAAACCUCCUCCCAGGGUGACCUGGUCUUUUUCUUAAGAACCUCCAGGGAGUCUUGAUCUGCCCCUGGGUGGUUUCUAAUCCUCGCCGUGCAAGUUCACUGGCAACAAGAGAAAUACCAGGGCACCGCCGGCCUGCGGUUCCUCAUCCAGUCUUCCUUAUUCAGCCUGAACAUGUUCCAGAAUUAUUCAGGCUUAUUGCUAGCUACCGUUUCACCAGUAAGAGUGCCUGGGGUCAGGGGCUCAAGCAACGCAAGAGACCCUCUGACCUACAGCUUUUGUGCCAAGAACACCAAUACCUGCUGUUGCCUUUUCUAUUGUAAAGGUGUUUGCUACUCAAUUAUAACAAGAGAAAAGGAAAGGCUAUCAGAGAAAAGGAAAACUACAAAACCACCCUUAUUCACUAAAAAUAUAACCACCGCUGUCUUUCCUUAUAUAAUAUCACAAGUUUCCAAGUUUUAAAACUAUCCCCAUAAAUAAACUUUCCCACUCAGCACAGCUUUCCUAAGCAUGUCCUAUUACUGAAAACUUACAGUGCUUGGGUUUUCACUGAGAAGCGAUGCGGCAAGAAGCAUCUUUUUUCAUAAAGCAGCACAGUAUCACGGUUUUGGAGCCACACGUUACUGUUGUGGACGCGUGACCUUGGGCCAGCUGUAACGUAAGCAAGCCUUGGUUUCCUCAUUCACUAAGGAGUGAUAAUCCUAUGUGGCCGCAUCACUGUGGGAUCAGUGACCAUGAAGUACUUGCACAGUGCCUCACGUGCAGUGAUCGCAAGCGCUCGACAUAAUGGUGGCUGCUACUGCAAUUACUUAAGAUUUUGCAGUUCUUGACACAUGUUGCCAAAACGAGAUCCAAAUGACUCUUAUGCUUCUAACACCUAUCAGCAAUGUGUGAGCUUCAGAUUUAUUUGGAAAAGUGUGAGGAAAGAAACUGAAUCGCUGCAACACUGGGCGGUCCUUGGUCGUCUGAGAAAUUAUCUGAGGGGCCUCAUUAGGCCCGGUAAGGAAGCAUGUGGACACAAAAAUCUUAAUAAUCAACUAAUCCUACCUAUAGUCCCGCACUAAACCAUUCCCGGACACUAGCGUCUGUGAUACUGUCAAGUGGAUUGCAAAGUCAAACCACGAAUGUUAUGUUACAGGAGAACUGCUUUUACCAGGACCAAAACCAUUACCAAAUGAGGAGCCAGGUAACUUGGACCAGAGCGAAGAAAAUUGCCAAUGAUUAGGUAUUUCAGAAAAUAUUCUGAAAGAGAAGGCUCUGAGAGCUUAAUGAGGUUUUCUGAUAUUUUAACAAAAGAUUUAAGACAGUUUUAUUCAUAUUGUAAAACUCCAAUGACUCUCAAACAUCAUAACACAUUUGUAAACAUAGGUGUGUAUAUAUAUUUUAAACGUAACACCAAACUUGCUUUUCACUGUUGUUCCAUUCUGAGGGAGGAUCCCAAUCGGAUGCUCUCUCCGCACACAGCAGAGGCUCAUGGAACCCUGCACAGGUUGCAGGUCCUACACAGCUCCUAAUGCUGAAGCAUUUUUAAUUUUAAUUUUAUUUUUUAAUAUUUUAUUUAUUUGUUCACGAGACACUGAGAGAGGCAGAGACACAGGAAGAGGGGGAAGUAGGCAACCCAAACCCCGGGAUCGCACCCUGAGAGGAAGGCAGAUGCUCA
rnacentral:lncRNA from 1 species